UACGGAGGGUGCAAGCGUUGUCCGGAUUUAUUGGGUGUAAAGGGUGCGUAGGCGGGCUUGUAAGUCUGGGGUGAAAUCUUGCCGCUUAACGGCAAAACUGCCUUGGAUACUGCAAGUCUUGAGUGUGAGAGAGGUCGGUGGAAUUCGUGGUGUAGCGGUGAAAUGCUUAGAUAUCACGAAGAACACCUGUGGUGAAGACGGCCGGCUGGAUCACAACUGACGCUGAGGCACGAGAGCGUGGGGAGCAAACAGG
rnacentral:rRNA from 1 species